GGGAGACUCGAGCGUAGCUGAUGCAAACCUGCAGAACACUGAUCCAGAUGUGAUCCUCUGCAAUGCAGUAGAGAUGAUCCGUGAGUGUUUAAAUGUUUCUGAAGAUAGUAAAAAAGAACACUGUGAGAAAGAAGAUGAGUAUGUUUAUGACAUCUACUAUAUGGAAUCAUCAGCCCCUGGUUGGAUCCAAAAUAUCCUUUCUGUACAGCCCUACAUAGAAGAAUAUGAACUGGUAAGGUCAUGGGAAAACAGCUUUCUUAAAUAGAAAGGUCACAAAUAAACAUGCUUGAAGUCCUAUCAUUAAAAGUUGCCAUGCCAAGAAAGAUCCUUUGAGAUACUACACCUAUGCUCAGGGACUUCUGUGUUGGGCUUUUUCUAACUGCCAAUCCUGUGUUCCUGCAGGUUACUGUUGAUUCAAGCAAAUUAUGUUAUGACAAUGAAAACUAAAGGGAUAUUGCUCAUACUCAGAAGAA